GAUGUUCUAUGCAUAUCGUUUGAACCUACACUGUUUUAAGGGGACACCCUGACCGCUGGCAGAAACUCCCCGGGUUUACGUGCCUUUCAAGCAACUAAAGGAUGUAACUACAGUAGCCCAGACUACAGCAGCCCAGAUGUCCAUAAACAGAAGACUACACACCCGCUGCAUCCCGAAAGGAAAAGCUUGUGACAUAUAAG
rnacentral:lncRNA from 1 species